GAAAAAUGCAUACUUCUGGCACUGGGAGCAGCAUAGCUAGUGCUACAGAUGUGGUGGGAAAAUAGUCCAUUUUUUCACAGCAGCACCAUUCAAAACAACAAAACUCUGAGCAGCUGAAAAUACAAGCAAUCUGGUUUCAUUGCAGGAGGCACUGUGGAAAACACACCUCUCAAGGGGCUCACAACCAGGACAACUGGUGAUGGUGACACAAAAAAAUGACUCAUCACAGUUAUACAAGUGCAGCUCAGCUCAGAGAAAUGUGCUUUGAUCUCAGAGUAAAAUGAGCUUCUUAAUACCCUCAGAUUGCAGACUGCUAUUUCUAUUUAAUGCAUCAAGAAGCUGCGGGACAGAGAGGUUAAAUGGCUUAUCCAAGUUGCAAGAGAGACUCAGUGAUAGAACUGGAAAUAGGAGCCAAAUGUCUUGUUUCUCAUAUCGCUGUUCCAAGUCAUCAAGUUUAAGAUCUAAAAUCAGACAAAACUCAGGAGGUUGGCUGCUGAGGAAAUUGUCUAACAAUGAAGCUGAUCCUGUAAAGUAUCUCCCGUGAGGUUGAUGGGGGGAAAAAAAGAGACUCAGCACUUCUCAAGGUCAAGUCUGAAGACAGUUCAUGUCUUAAAAUGUUUAUAGGAUGAAUUGUUCCUUUACAAUGUUUUCAGAGACUACCAAGCUGAUCACAGUGACGGAAGCUUAUAAAGACUACGUUAUUCUGUGAUGCUGCUAGAGAGCCGAGAAAAUUAGAAGUGGUGAGGUAUGUACACUGCGAGCUGUAUUUUCCUCAUUAAUGUGCAAAAGAGGUGAUGAAGAUUAGGGACUUAUCACGCUGCUACCAUCCCCCCAAUGGAAGCAGAAUUAUGAGAUAUGCCCCCUGCUGCUGGUCCUGGAAAGGCCUGGGAACAUCAGAAAGAGAUGAUAAAUAGUUCAGAAAUAUCAAGUUUUGAACAGUGCACGGAGGCAGCGACUUCUGCUUUGGACGCCGCUCUCUUUUUAAAGACCGCGUUGUUACAGCUAAAUCUAGAGACAAUUCUUAAAAAGCAUUAGAUGGCAGAAAAGGGGGGAAAGUCUUACCGUCGAAAGACUGCUGCAGGUUCCAGCUCAGCCUGAAACUGCAGGGAAAAGUGGAGCAGCUGCUGAACAAAAGUUUUAGAUUUUUUUUUUUUUUUUUCAGAAAGUCUGCAAAACUAAUUUCCCACAAAAUAGGACUCAAUUUCCGUUUAAGAAAGCAGCUCUUGCAAAUCUCAUACAAUUCCUGAUUUUUUCCAAUGGCGAUUCAAAUUCAUUUUUAUCUUUCGCACAUGGACCCAAGAGUUUAGACUGAAAUGGCAGAGCGCAGUGCUUUUUUUUUUUUUUUUUUCUUUUCACUUUAAGUUUGGUUUGCGGGGAGGAGGAGGAAGGCAGAGCGAAGAGAAGGGGCGAAGGAACUCAGCGUUUCGGCAGUGGGCAUCUCUAGGCAACGAUCAAUAAACGCUUUAUCCUAAUCUAAACCCGUGUACAGCCUUCCUCGGGGCUACCGCUAAUCCCACGCCACGCGCAGCCCAGGCUGUCCCUCUCCAGGUUCUCCCACGCUAAAGACUGAGAAGCAGCAAAUGAAGAAGCAGAGAAGUUGGGCAAACUGCGCUUUUGGAGGGGCAGGGGGCAAAAGAGGCGACUUGUCCGUGUUCGAACACACGUGGCGGCUCGCUGAGCGCCGGGACUUUCGUGGCAGACCCACAGGCACCGGGGGUCUCCUGUCCUUAAGGCCGAGGUGUGCGCGGGGGUGACUACGGGGCUGCUCUGGGCGGGACAGCCUCGCACAGCCGUGCCGGGCCGUGCCCAGGUGCGCUGGGAGCUCAGGUGGGGCUGCAGCCCCGCGCCCUCCGGGCGUAUUUGAUUUCACCCAUCUCCUGCACCUCGGCCCUGCGCACACCCUGCGGGGUGUCCGUU
ensembl:lncRNA